AUGAGUUCACUUCGGUGGUGUCUCAUGUUAAACUAAAAUGGAAAAUACACAGAAGAUUAGCAUGGCUCCUGCACAAGGAUGACACGCAAAGAUGCGAAGCGACACAAUUUUUC
rnacentral:snRNA from 1 species